GGGUCUUUUUCCCGUCAAUUACUAUCGUAUUGUUGCUGUUAGAAUGAUAUGAACUAGUAUAGUAUAUGAUUUGUAAAUAUUAAAUAUACAGCGAGAAAACAUAAGGGAAACGAACCCAAGGGAAAUUAAAACAUUUGUGAAUAAGAUGGUAUUAUAAAUAGUAAUAUUAAUGGUCUUGAUAACACGUGGGAGAACGUAUACAAUAUUUAAA